GAGGAAGAGAGGGAGGCCAAUAGGUUCAAAGUCUGCUAAAAGCAAGAUGGGGCGAAAACCAGCAUUCACUCACAUAUGCAGUAGGAAUAGUGAGGGCGAGAGAGGAAAAGAUGAUGAUUUUGAUCCGGCGGUCCCCGAUGCUGAUGGCCAAAAGAAACAUCCAAGGGUUCAGGGCAGAUGCGGCCCUGCUUUCAAAAGAGUUUUGGAGGUACAGGAGAAAUUUCCAGGAGAAUAUCCAAGCUGCACCAAGUGUAUGAUGCCAUCGAAUGUCCUUAGAGUUUUUU